rnacentral:lncRNA from 1 species
AACUGAAGACAGACUCUUAACGGACUGAGCCACCCAGGCGCCCCUAACUGGACACUUUCAUUCUAAAAGGGAAAGUCCUAGGCAUGAAGGGACACCUGCAGCACACGCUCCUGUGCCUGCCACGAGCCCAGCCUGGGCAGCUGGAAGAGUGGGGGACCCGAAGCUGAGGCUGGAUCUGCAGGACGGUCAGGGCAGAGGCCUUCGGGGCAGAUGCGCAUCAAUCCCAGGCAAGCUGGACUCGCACAUGAGUCAGCCUGGACUCCUGGCGUCCUGUCCUAGAGCCCAAUGCCCAGGACGAGAAAGGAGGCCGCACACAGGCUCAUAUGACCCCAGACGAGGGGCUGUUCCCCGAGCAGCUGCAGCCCUGGCUGUUCUGGAAGCCAGACUGCUUUCCUAACCAGGACAGAGCCGGAGGACAGAAAGCAUGUGACCCCCAGACCUCCACUUCAGGGCACCGCCCCUACCUCAGAACUCAAGAUGGUUCCACCGGACUGGCAGCUCCGGACUGAGGCUGAAAGCCUUGAGACUUCCCUGCAGUUGCCGCCUCGCCUCGCAUUCUGGCCACGGCUCACCACUGCCGUCCUAGGAGCCAGCAGAAGUCACCACGGUGGACCCCUCUCUCCUGCUUCAAGGACCACCUGCUCAGGAACAUCUAGUUCUCCUGGUUUGCUUUUCACCUCUGCUGCCAGCUUUACCCCAGCCUGCGGUUCAACGCUGGAGUGUCCCAGGGCUCCACUCCACUCCCCACCCUGGGAGAGUUUGUCAGAAGCCUGACUUUCGGUGUUCUCUCCACGCUGCUCGCUCCAGAUUUUUACCUCCGUCUGGGACCCUGGGCUGGGCCCAGUGUCCAGGGGUCUGGGCUGGGCUCCCUCGCCCAUCUCUUCACUCCACCCACUGGGAACCUUCUGCAAAGUUUGCUUGGCUUUGUUUUUUUUUUUUGUUUUUUGUUUUUGUUUUAAUUUUUUUCAAAGUGUGGACUAUAAUGAAUACAGAAAGACAUUCUGCUCAAUGAUUUCUCACAGGCCAAACCCUCACAAAACACAGCCCGGGGGAAAGACACUGCUGGUGCCCGACGGUGCCUGUGCGGCUCUGCAGUCAUUCCUCCCUGCUCUGCCCGAGUUCUAAGGGAAGGUGGUCAUUACCUCGAUUUUCUUGAUUGUUACCACCUAAACGUACCUCUCCGAACGACCACUUUCUUGGGGCACCUGGCUGGCUCAGUUGGUGGAACAUGUGACUCUCCAUCUGCAGGUCAGGAGUUCAAGCCGCAGACUGGGUGUAGGGCUGACUUUAAAACAACAACAACAACAACAACAACAUAAAUAAAUAAAUAAAUAAAUAAAUAAAUAAAUAACCA